AAAGAAAAUUGAAAAGGUUUAUGAAAAUUAAAGAUUUGCCUUGUGUUUGUUUUUUUUUUUUUUGGUUUUUGACACGAUUCCAU
rnacentral:ribozyme from 1 species